GAGAUUGUUUUCCUUCAUUGAGACAAAUGGUUAUGUUUUUCUGACAAACUUCGACAUAUACAAGGAAACUAUCAAGAUAUAUUUUGAUGUGCAAAACAGGUCAGAUUUUAUGUGCUCUUCUUGGUUGUAUACAUGUACAUGUCUUAAGAGUGAUUUAAAACGUAUUCGUAAGAAAAUUGAGCAUUUGUGUAAAUAAUCAGUUUUCCAGAAGAUGAAAAAUAAAAGUCACCAAAAAGCCACCAUCCAUCAUAAGGACAUUUGCUUUAUUGCUUGGCUUGUUUUGCUUUGUGUCUGUCUCACUAACGUUAUAUGUAUUAGAGGCACAUUAUGCCAUCACAGAACAUAUAAAUGACUCCUCACACUGUGAAUUUCUUUUCACAACACAGCUCUCCAGCUGCUGCCACCAUGACUCUCAGAUCUCUGUUGGUCUUUGCUUUAUUCCUGCAGUUUGUUUACCCGCCUCACCAGCUAUGAAGCUAAAUGCAUAGCAAUAUAAUAGGAAAUGAAAAUAUUCAUAAUUGUUGAGAUGUCCCUUUUUUUUGUACUGGUUGUUACUUUCAUUGUCUGUCUGUCUGUGUGUCCUUCUGUCUGUCUGUCUGUCUGUUCUAAGAAAUGAGAGGAAUCUUUCUUGCAGGACUUUUAGGCUGGCCUGCUCUGAACCUGUGAGUGAUCUGGUGAACCAGCUGAAGGCUUGGAGCACAAAGAAGUGUCGAGACGGUCCGGAGAAGUGCAUGUAUAAGAUAAUGAGCGAGUCCCCAGAAGAGCUUGAAGUAGAGCACACCUCCCCUAAGUCAGGCAAAAUUACAGAAAUUAACUUCGUUUUUGGCCCACUUGCUGCAAAAUCCUUCUGCAAAAUUAAAGCUAUUUCUACCACAAAAUCAAAGAACGGAACCGAUCCCAAUGACUAUUGCCUCCUCUACAAUCUAAUUGAUGCAAGCGGGCUGACCCAGGCAGAAGGCUACAAAGAAAUUUGCAAUAAGGAGAAGCGUCCCUCGAUGUCAUCAGCAGACUGUGACAAAGAUAAAGACUUUUAUGUGUGAAUGAUUUCCCUAAAGGCUAAUUUUUUUACUUGCUUAUAAAAUUUUGUGCCUCUAUUGCAUCAAGGUUCACAAUCAGUUCACAAUUAGUCUUUCUGUACUGUCUCGCUCUUCUUGUUGAAAAAUUAUUGUAGAGAUUUAAUUUUAUGGUGAUUACUGUUAAUUUGUUUUUCCUUUUUCUUCAUCUCAGUUUGUGCAAAUAAACUAUGCAUUAAAGAAUAAUUCAACAUUUUUGAAGCGGGGCUCGAUCAGUCGAACUUUAUUAGUAGAGCGUUUUCAAACAGAUUACAUGAAAAGUUGAAUAAGAUUAUUUUAUAAGAUUAAGAUAGGAAAAAGUUCUAAACACAAAGAGAAGUGAAAAUAUAAGAUCCAAAUAUUUGAUAUUUGAUCAAAUCUAAAGUAAACACACAAAAGUUGUUUAGAUCCAGUUUGAGAACGAAAUAUCCAAUUGAACUUAAAUUUGAAGAUAUCUGGAGACCUACUGUAUGUGGCAGUAAAAAAAAAUUUUUAACCUUAUAGCAAGUUUUCUUUUCAAUUCACCAUGUGUGCACAAAACUCAGAGAUGUUUCUCUGCUAUAUAAAUAAAAUGCUUUGUUACAUUUUAAUUUACUCCACACUGUGGAGAGGGUUUGUUCAGCCCGACUAAAAAAAGAGUGUUGAACUUGAAUGUUUGUGUGAGAGCCUCACAUCCAGUCAGAUUUAUUUUGCACCUCUUUUAUUUACAACACAAAUAAUCUUCUUUAUCCAUGGAGUCGAUCAAAAAAAGAAAGAAAAUGUCCAAAACAGACAGCAAAUAGCCUGGCUUGUACACUAUAUACAUAUAAUGCAAUAAUGUUAACAUCUUAUACAGUUUGUCUGUGAGAAUAAACUUCACAUAUCUGCAUAAAGCAUCUAGAGUGCAGAGAUUGCUCCUUGUCUUUUCUUCUUUACCCUCUGUGGUGUACUGACUGCUGUCCAAUCAGUCCCCUCUGCUUCCUUUAAUGUCACUCCAAAUUAGCCCUAAUGCUUAGCAGCAAGUGUCAAGACAGACUUG